AUUGAAACACCAAUUCACGUACGAACGCCGAAGUUAAGCAAUGUCGAACCUAGUCAGUACCUAGAUGGAUGACUGCUUGGGAAUACCAGAUGCUGUAAG